rnacentral:rRNA from 1 species
CAUUACGUAAGUAAGUAAGAUCCCUGAAAGAUGAUCAGGUAGAUAGGAUGGAAGUGGAAGUGCUGUGAGGCAUGGAGCGGACCAUUACUAAUCGAUCGAGGACUUAACCAAG